rnacentral:lncRNA from 13 species
CUCAGUGAUGGUGCAGCAGAGUCCGUCUCUAUGGAAGUCGUCUCUCAUGUGGAGGAUAUUUAUAGAGCAACAUCAGUGGAGCAGAUUGUUUCUUCAACUGCUGCUGUGGUCUGCAUUUCACCAGCAGUGUCUGCUCGAUGCUCCUCAAAUGACAUGUCUGGAAGAACUUGUUUCAAAACAGCAGUAGUGGGAGCAGAGAUACCAGAGAAACACGCCUCUCCAAACGUUUCUCCACAGACAUCGUUAAUGUCAGGUAAAAGUAAUUCAUGAUUUAUUAAAUACAUUAAUAUUGCUGCAUUAGUAAGGUCCAUAUCACCUUUUCGGUAAAAGUGGGAAGUUUAAAAUAGUGUUCAAAUGAUUUACUUUGUCUCCCCCGUCUCUAGCUCAUGUUGGUGAGUCUAUGAGAGGUACAGACAUUUCACCUAAAUCUAGUCUGGACAGGAUUUCCUCUAUUGGUGAAAGAGCAGCAGAAACAUCUUCUAGAGAAGUGAUGUAUAUGGAGGAGAUGCAUAAAGCAUCAAUGGCAGAACUACCAGGGCCUCCAGCUGCUGUUGGAGCUAUUUUACAAACAGUGUCUGCUAGAUGUUCACUAAGUCACAUGGCAGAAAGAGUCCCCUCGGAAACAGUAGUAGAGAGAGACACAUCUUCCAGUGUUCCUCCUAGGGUUUCUCCACAAACAUCUGUGAGCUCAGGUAACAUUUUGAACUAUCUUGAAUGAAAUAUAAGGUUGUUAUGUCAGUAUUGUGGGCAAAAUGAAUUGUGACAUACCACAGAAUACUUCAAUCAGUCUUUUCGCAACUCAUGUUGACGUUACUCCAACAGCUACAGGCUUGUCAUCCAAGUUCAGUCUGGCCAGGGUUCCCUCUGUGUCUCUCAGCGAUGGUGCAACAGAACCAGCUCAGAUAGACAACGAAACACUGUCAAUGGAGGAGCUUAUGACGUCUCCAUUGUAUUCUCAUUGGUCACCAGCCGGUUCGGAAAGUGACUCAUUAGGCUUAAGAGGAGCUCCCUCUGAAACAGCAGUGGAUGGAGCACACAGAGGGUUCUUGGUAAGGAGACCCAGUAGAGAGGAGCGUGUGACGAGAACAGCAGAGACACCAGAGAGAGACACAUCUCCCAGUGUUUCUCCACAGACUUCGUUUACAGGUGUUGUUUCUGAUGUGACAGUUUUCUACAGAGAUUCAUCUGUGGGAGAAUUACAUCUUUCUCCAUCUGUUGGCGAGGAACUUGUGGUGGAGGCUUACGAAGUACCAUCACCCGAGAAGGAGACUCCAUCUGCUUCAGUUGGUGGACCUUCAUCAGUAGUGUCUGCAAGAUAUACUGGAAGUGGUUUAACAAGAAGAGCUUUCUCUGAAAAAGAAGUAACGAGACCAGAGACACCAGAUAGACACACGUCUCCCAGACUUUCAGCUAGAGUUUCUCCACAGUCCAGUCUGACCAGGAUUUCCUCUGCACCAUCAAUGGAGGAGCCACAGAUGUCUCCAACUGCUUCUGUUGGUAGACUUUCACCAGCAGUGUCUUCUGUAAGAUAUUAUGGAAGGGGUUUAUCAGGAAGAGCUUUCUCUGAAACAGAACUAGUUGAUGCAGCACACAGUGCCCCCUCAGUCAGGAUACCCAGUAGAGAGGAGAGUGUGAGGAGAAGAGCAGAGACACCAGAGAGAGACACAUCUCCCAGAGUGUUUCCUAGAUCUUCGCAAAGAGUUUCUCCACAAACCUCUCUCCUAUCAGCUCAUGCUGGUGAAUCUCUGUCUGGUACAGAUAUUUCUCCACAAUUCAGUCUGCCUAGGAUUCCCUUUGCACCAUCAAUGGACAGACCCACAUCUCCCAUAGUUUCUCAAAGAGUUUCUCUACAAUCCAGUCUGUCCAGAAUUCCAUCUGCACCAUCAAUGGAGGAGCUACUGGUUUCUCCAUCUACUUCUGUUGGAAGAAUGUCACCAGCAGUUUCAAGAUCUUCAAAAAGUAGUUUAUCAGAAAGAGCUCCUUCUGAAACAAUCAUAAGAUAUUCUGAAAGUUGUUUAUCAGGAAGAGCUUUCUCUGAAACAAAACUAGUUGAUGCAGCACACAGUGUCCCCUCAGUCAGGAUACCCAGUAGAGAGGAGAGUGUGAGGACAAGAAGAGCAGAGACACACACAUCUCCCAGAGUUUCUCCUAGAAUGUCUCCCAGAACUUCUCCUCGAUCCAGUCUGGCCAGGAUUCCAUCAGCCCCAUCAAUGGAGGAGCCACUGGUGUCUUCAACUGCUUCUGUUUGCAGGAUUCCACCUGCAGCAACAGUGGAAGCAGCACACAGAGGAGAGAGUGUAGCGAGAACAGCAGAGGCACCAGAGAGUCACACAACUCACAGAGUUUCUUUCAGAAUAUAUCCACAGACAUCUAAGACAGGCGUCCUUUCUGAUGUAGCAGUUUUGUACAGACCAUCCAUGACUGCAGGGUUUUGUCUUGAGGUUUUAGACACGGAGUCUGACCAGGUGAAUACGUCGGUGAGUGACAUCACAGCACAAUUUCCCUCUGACACUGCUGCAAUGAAGACAGUACACAGAGAGUCCUCAGGGAGGAUACCUAGUAGAGAGGAGGUUGUGAGGAGAACAGCAGAAACGCAAACAUCUCAUGCAAAUGGUAAAUAUCAACUUUCUGAAAUAUUAUUAACAGAAACCAGACUAUUUUCUAAACAUUUAUCUUCCUAAUCGCAUAGCAGUAUUGGACAACAGCACACAGGUUUCACAAACUGCAAUCCGCCUUUGUGAAGAGGUGAGUGCCUACCCUAUAGAAGUGCAGCAGGGGACCCUGGGACUUGAAGUUUAUCUAGGAGCAUCUCCAGCCAACGUUGUUGGGCCUCAAAACACGAGAACUCAAAACACACGUUCACAGGGUGUGCAGACUAGUCGAGGUAAAUUUAUCCUCAGAAUACAAUAAUUCAUCUUUAAUAAUUGUUCAAUCAUUGUGUGUGCAGUGAAGUUAUUAGGGGAUUUUUUCCCCCUCCAAUAUAUUUGUGGAAAUUAGGAUGUUCACUUUUGAUGUUGCAUUCUAUUCUCAUAUUAGAUUAUCAUGGCGCGCCCUCACAGAGCGUUCCUAUUGGCGCAGGACGCGUCACUCCUGAUGCUCAGCCUGCACGUGAAAAUUACACCAAUCAGGUCUGGACACUUUACCACUUGGCCAAUGAGACAGAGGAGGGCACACUGUCCGCUAAAGUUAUCUCCCAGCCUCCUUACAAUGGUAGUGCUUAUAUUCGCAACUUUGGGGCUGGACAUGUGUUACUGGCUGAGAGGUCCCCUUCCCCUCAGAAAUCUGACGCCCAGUCCUGGAAUGGCCAACCCAGACAACAGCCCCAGCCACCACCCUUCCUAAUGAGCCCAAGAAGGGCCUUCAUACACAGGGCACAGUCCUCCACCCUACCUCCUCCUUCUCUACCCCAGCCUCCAACCGUCCACAACCAGGAGAUCAACAUCCCCAACUUCUUCAUGCAUCCCCAACUUCUUCCUGUGUUCCCAGGCAAGAUCGUUCGUAGCAUUCCGACCGCGGUGCAGACCAGGUCGAGGUCUGCUGCGGUCCGGGCAGGUGACCCCCCGGGGUACCUGUCAUUCUCCGUUCCCAUGGAGACGGUGAGCAGAGGAUCUGGUCAGGGCGGUCAGGACCAGUUCUUUCAGGUCAUCAGUGAUGAAGGGAACACUGUUUACUCUCCUGCUCUCAUGCACAUUUUCACCACAGAGGAAGAGGAACAGGAAGGAGACAGGAGGCAGCCAACUAGUGCCACAUUUAAUUGGUAGGGGACUGUUUGGUACAGGGUUUCUCAAACUCGGUUUUUGCCCGAACACUACUAAGCUGAUUCAAAUAACCAACAAGUUUUGAUUAUUUGAAUCAGCUGUGCAGGGCAAAACUGAGUUUGGGAAACCCUGGUCUAGUGAGCAUCAAUAAAUACAUUUGCAUAUCAUAACAAAUGUUCUCCCUCUUCAUAUCAUAACAAAUGUUCUCCCUCUUCAUAUCAUAACAAAUGUUCUCCCUCUUCAUAACAAAUGUUCUCCCUCUUCAU